UUGGCAUGUGUCAUUACUAGUGAUUCCAUUCCAUGAUGUAACUCUUUUGUGCACUCUUAUUCUUUAUUCUGUGCCUUUUAUGUUCUAUGCUUGCUAACUUCUUAAGUUUGAUUCUGACUAUAUCAUUUUUGAGAGACGGCGUAUAACACCUGAUGUUAACAAUGAAUUGCAAUAACCAGUCAGGAUUUUCCCUGGAAUCACAUUUUUGAUACGAGAUCUGGUAGAUGAAGGAUUUGGUUGAGUUGCCGGGAUUGAGAUGCUGGGGCGCAGGGAUACUGCACUUGACAUGGCCAAGUUUGUCUACAUGGAUGUCCAUGUGAAGCUCACUGAUGGCCGGCAAGAAAACUACACUAUUGGUCUCCAGGGCUUCCUUGUCUUCAACGCUGUUGGAGGUGGAACUUGCUAUGGCCUUGGUUCUCUUCUCCUUGAGCAGCUCUUUGUUGACUGUGGAAUAAAUUACAAGCUUGAGUUCACUUGUGUGUCCUCACUCUCUCAUUGAACACAUUUAUGUGGUUGUUCUUAACAACGAGGCUAUCUAUGCCAUCUGCCUCUAGUCCCUUGAUAUUGAGCGCCCAACCUACACCAACCUGAACAUGCUUAUGUCUCAGGUCAUAUCAUCAUUGGCUUCUCCUCUGGGGCUUGUUGGUGUUCCGAGUGUUGAUGUCAAUGACCUCCAAACCAAUCUGGUGGCCUACCCAAGUAUCCACUUCGUGCUUUCCUCGUAUACGCGCAAUUUAGGUACCUCCGCUGGAAUACUAGAGGCGAUGACACUAAAGUCUUGAUC